CAAGGAUAUAACGGAGUAAUCAUCCACAAGCUUUCAGCCUUCGGCAUCUGCAGUUCUGAGGCAUUUGCAGACGCCUGAAAUUUAAUAUCAACGCUUGGCCUCGGAUCAUUCCAACCCCGAUGCUUUACACCUAACUUCACAACCAAGCUUUAGGCGACAAGCCCACAUCACACCAAUUCCUUGGGACCAAGUUGAGGUGCGCGGGACAGGUGUAUAGAAUAUAUAUUCAUACAAGGCAAAAAACACUGGGACAUUCUAUUCAUUUCGCUGCAUAAAUUGUUAUUGAUGCUAACUGUGGAGCACACUUAGCGGUCUCAUGGGCUGCUAGUGCUCUCUGCAGAGAAGAGAUUUGAUCGAGUUAUGCUGCGUAGUGAGGUGAACUG
rnacentral:sRNA from 1 species